UGGUAGUUUCGAGAUGGUCUGUGUAUUCCUUUCCAGUUCUAUUGCUGCAAAGAAACACUCUGAUCAUAUUCUACCAAUCUAGAUCACUAGGUGCAUGUAUAACAACUGGUUUUGUCACAAUCUAUGUUUUUGAGCUCUUCUUUUAUUUUAUUUUAUUGUUCAGUCCUUUUGGCACUUAUUUAUGACCUGUAAAGUAAGAGUUACUUGGUUGGCAUCUUGGCAAUAACGAUUUGAGAUGGUUGAGUACUUGAGUUGCAAUUGUCUAAUUAUGGCAAGUUUCUUCCCUUCAUGUAGGAUGUUACAGAUUUUUUAAGGCCCAGGAAUCUCUAUUUGUUAAAACAAAGAAAGUGUGGACUGAUAUGAUAUCAGAUAUGUUCGCAUAGAGGCUGCGACAUGGUGCUGAUACUAGUAUGGGGUACUAAACCUGAUGCUUUGUUGGGCUGAAGGAGAGAGAUGAGAAUUUGAUGAAGCUUGCUGGUCAUGAUAUAUAUGGCUCAAGACAGGAGGAAUUUGUAUCUCUGAGCUUGAUUGAACAUCAUCUUAUGAUUGAUACAAAAUGCAAUGUGAAGUUCAUACAAACACAAUCAAAUCUCUCUCGCUACUAAUCAGGGGAAUGAAGAGUCCAAUCUUCCAUCUAAACUUCGUGGAAUGACUGGUUUCCGGAUGGAUGACGGUCCUUUAAUUUAAGAAAGCAGAAUUUGACUGAGGAGGACCUUCGAGGCUUUGAGGAAAAACCCAUGGCAGUCUCUGCUGCAUCUCUGUGGUACCGUCCGGCCUGAAAAUAUUUGUCAUUUCUUCUGUGGUCAUCGCACAAUCUAAUGUAGUGCUUGUUCAUGUAACCUCAUGGUUGUAAACUGUACCUGUAUGUAUAACCAGGGAGACAUUUUAGUGAGGACUUUUCGGUUUACGGUUUAAAAAACAUAUUUUUCGAUCAC